UACGUAGGGUCCAAGCGUUGUCCGGAUUUAUUGGGCGUAAAGAGCUCGUAGGCGGCUCAGUAAGUCGGAUGUGAAAACUCGGGGCUCAACCCCGAGACGCCAUCCGAUACUGCUGUGGCUUGAGUCUGGUAGGGGAACACGGAAUUCCUGGUGUAGCGGUGAAAUGCGCAGAUAUCAGGAGGAACACCAAUAGCGAAGGCAGCUCGCUGGGACGUUACUGACACUGAGGCGCGAAAGCGUGGGGAGCGAACAGG
rnacentral:rRNA from 1 species